UGGGGAAUAUUGCACAAUGGGGGAAACCCUGAUGCAGCGACGCCGCGUGAACGAAGAAGGUAUUCGUAUCGUAAAGUUCUGUCUUAUGGGAAGAUAAUGACAGUACCAUAGAAGAAAGCUCCGGCUAAAUACGUGCCAGCAGCCGCGGUAAUACGAAUGGAGCGAGCGUUGUCCGGAAUUAUUGGGCGUAAAGGGUACGCAGGCGGUUUAAUAAGUCGAAUGUUAAAGAUCGGGGCUAAACCCCGUAAAGCAUUGGAAACUGAUAAACUUGAGUAGUGGAGAGGAAAGUGGAAUUCCUAGUGUAGUGGUGAAAUACGUAGAUAUUAGGAGGAAUACCAGUAGCGAAGGCGGCUUUCUGGACACACACUGACGCUGAGGUGCGAAAGCGUGGGGAGCAAACAGG
rnacentral:rRNA from 1 species